rnacentral:lncRNA from 1 species
GCCACGUUUGACCUAGGGAUUUAAAAUAUUGGUUUCUUGGUUGAUUUAGAGAUACAACAAUACAGUGGAAAUAGCAUAAACAAUGACAGCGACAAGAAGAGGUUGGCAACGAGUUGGUUGGAUAGUUUAGUAGCGAGAAUCUUUUGGUGGAGAAACUAAUUAUCAGGUAUUGCAUUGAUUUUACUACAAUGGUACAUGUUCCAUUUAAUUCCAGAGAGGUUGAUAAUUGGAAUUGAUAGCAUGCUGCGGAAAAGCAUUUCCUAUGUUAAUAACAGUUUCGGUUUCUAGUUAUUUUAAUUAAUAGAUACAAUGUUUAAUGAAUGAUUAGGUAACAAUGAGAAGAUACAUAUUUAUAGUACGAUGAUUGGAUAUAAUAAUAGGUAUAGAAUUGACUAGUUUCAACGUGAGUGAGCAAUUAAGUUUUCAAAAUUUCAGAAUGUUUGAAUUUAUAAACCCCUGUAUCGUUCUUUUCUAUUCUAUACUCUAGGAUUAUUAUUUCGGGACAUGAAUAUUAGUAUAUUGGACAUUUAUUUUAAACAUUUAGUUAGAUAGAGAUAUUGGGAUAUGUCUUUACUUUUAACAAUAUGGUACUUGAUAGGUAGAAUAUUAAGACUCAACUCUAAACUUAAAAGUUAGGGAUAUUAAGAUUUGAUCCCGACUAAUAUAGUUGAUAUUGUUAAUAAUACCUUGUAUAGAUUGAGGCCGAUUGGUUGGUGUUCUAGAAGUCGCAAGGUUGGGAAACUUGUCGUUGGCAAGGUAAGUGAGACUUUAAGCUUUGAUACUUGCUUUUUUAAAACCUGUUUUGAAAGUGUGUUUUCUCUGCCUGGUCCAUGUGUUGGGGCAAGCGUGCGCUUGGCAGAAUCGGUGGUCGUAGACUAGCCGCAAAUAUAUUAUUUUAUGAAAAUACAAAAAAAAAUUAUUUUAUAAGUUGUUUGAUAGUUUGAUACGGUUGUGAGCCAUGUGUUGAGUUUGAUGCAGUUGUGAGCCAUGAUGUUGAGUUUGAUAGUCCGAUUCGGCUGUGAGCCAUGAUAUUGAGUUUGAUACGGCUGUGCACCAUGAUGUUGAGUUUGAUACGGCUGUGCGCCAUGAUGUUGAGUUUGAUAUGGCUAUGUGCUAUGAUGUUGAGUUUGAUACGGCUAUGCGCCAUGAUGUUGAGUUUGAUACGGCUAUGCGCCAUGAUGUUGGGGCAUUGUGUAUGCCUUUGUAUAUCACCCGAGCAUUGUGUAUGCUUCUUGAUAUAUUUGGGGCAUUGUAUAUGCUCUGUUACAUAUUUGAGGC